AUGGAGGGAGGGUUUAAGAUGGUGGAGAUAAAAUGAGAUUUAAGGAUUAGACAGAGAGAUGAGUGAACUCCUAGUGACUUGUUCUAGAACGACCAUAGGGAGGAAGCAACGCUGCUGCUGCUGCUGCUGCCACUGCUGCUUCAGAGACACAACAAAGAUUAAUCAAGUUAAUCCACACGUGGAAGGAAAAGCGUCACAGAACGCUCAGCUCGUCCGUCCAGGAGAGUUCACACGUCUGCAGCCGUCAGAUCAGACGACCGUUGUUCAUCUCGCGGCUGCCGAGAGGAGACACGGCGCAGGCACGCGCUCGGCUCCUGGUAGAUGCUUCCUGUCUAACCGCAGUAACGUUCGCUGUCACCUCAGCAGGCAGCAGCUUAUCGCCAGCGGCCAAACGCAACUGACGCGGCGCCGCAGCAACUGAAGCCAGGGGGAAGGCGUGCGAGCGCUGUGGCGUCGCCGUGGCGUCGCCGUGGCGUCGCCGUGCCGUCGCCGUGCCGUCGCCAUGGCGCCGCCUUCAGCUGGACUCCACAGCGGUCCUUCUGUGGCUCCUCACCGACCACAGACUCACCUGGCAACCAGCUGAGCAACCAGUCUGGUAGUGAUGUACCAGAGCUCGGGCCUGAGGCCACGUGGACAUAGAAGGUCCCAUAACAGGACACCCGGUCAAACCCAGCAGAACCAAACCUUUGCUUUUAUGGUGAUAAGCCUGAGGACUCCAUCAAACAUCAGGAAGACGAUGCAAAAAUCUUCGCUUUCAGCCGCAGCAGGAAGCAGCUGUCACCACAGUCAAGUCCUCCGGGCUGCUCGGCAGCGAGCAGACGCAGGGGUCAGCUGCAGCUGAAGGUGUGUGAGCAGGACCCACGCGUCGCCGGCCGCACGGGCUCCGGAGGCCGGACCCGGUCCACACACCCAUUGUGACAGAUUCUAAUGGUGGAUGUGAGAGCGGCAGGUGCUGGGCUCAUUAUGUAACACUGACAUCUGCUGGGAGCACAGUGUGUCCUCCACGCUCGCAUCUCUGACUCCGGCAGCAGCUUCCACCGUGGGAAACAGGCAGCGUCUGCGUUGAUGUGAGGAGCUCAGCAUCAGCCGCGGGUGUCGUCAUCGUUAUUUAUUUCAUCUGAAGCUGAUUCUGAACUUGAAACCAAAGGCACAACCUGUAAAACCGAGUCUGAAGGAAGAUGGAGGAGUGAAACUGACGACCUUCAGUGUUUGCUCCCUUCUCUUCUUUCUUUUUAACCUUUUAGGUCUUAAAAACCAUAUUGUAUUACUGCAGUACUUCAAUAAAGAAGAAGGAAUGUUA